UUUUACCCUAAUUAUGCAUGUGAACUUGGAUAAUUAAUCUGCCCUAGCUAGAUUGAAUUCCAAAUCUAUAUGCAGCUUAAUUAAUUAAUCAUGUUCAUCAUUGCAGCACAUGGAAUGGUUUCUACGCGUUAGUAUUUUCCAAACUAGGAUCUUAACAUUAACUAGAAGCUGUACAGUCGUGUUGAAACUGAAGGGGAAAGUUCUAAAUUUCAAAAAAAGUGACUUCAAGUUGUUAAGAUUGUAUAGUCCUAUUCUGUGUGCCCAACAAAAGCCCCCACCAAUUCAACCAGCUUAUUGGUCUGUAGACUUUCUGAAAUGGUAAUAAAAAAAGGCCAAAGAAAAGGAGAACCCUCUUCUUUUUUUUCCUUCAUCUUCUCGGCAUUCCUCGUCGAUUGCUGGCCUUUGUAAUCAUGAGUCCUCAUGCCAUCAUUAUCAUGAAAAGCUUCUCUCUCUUUUUCUUUCAUAUGCAGAUACAAGCACGACCGCAUUACCCCAUCUAUAUAACUCACAUUUGGUUUCUCUUAGUUUCUACCAUCUACUACAAGCCCCAAAACCCACCUUGCUUGUAAUCUUUGCUCUCCUUUUUCCCCCCUUACGUAUCUUUUUACAGGAAAAAGAACAGUCACCCAUUUCUCUGUGACGCAGAAACUAAACUUUAAAGGGGGGAAAAUGUGUACUGGUACUUGUUCGAAACUGAGCCCAUGCAGUCCCUUGUAUAUUGCUCUUAGCAAUCAACAGCCAUCAAAAGGACACAACCUUCGAUAUCAUAGACUCAACCGAAGGAGAAGGUUGUCAAAAGGGAAGAGGGUGGCACUGGUACUGGUCAAGAAAGAGAUGGAAAUCAAGAACUUGAAACUGUACAUGGAGAAUAAAAGCAUCAUAGAAGAGAAUGAGAAGCUGAGAAAGAAAGCAUUUCUUCUACACCAGGAAAAUCAAGCUUUGCUUUAUCAGCUCCAAAAGAAGCGCUCUAAUCCUCGCCAUGACCACUUGGCUCACAGCAACAACUAAUAUAUAUGACCAUAUAUCUAUGUAGGAGAAGUUACUGUAUGCAGAUCAAGUACAAGAAGAUUAAUAGGAAGCAAGAGUCUGCCUUCUUUAAUCUUUUUCUAUCUUCUCACCUUGUCCUUUAUUCUUUUCUUCUUUGUUUUUUGACUAGUAAGCUUAGUAGUAGUUUCGUUAAUAUUAUUGGGAUAUUGGGAAUAAAUAAGGUAAUUGUUUUA